rnacentral:rRNA from 1 species
ACGGGUGCGUAACACGUGGGCAAUCUGCCUUAAAGUGGGGGAUAGCUCGGCGAAAGCCGAAUUAAUACCGCAUGUGAUCAGGGAAGAUAUCUUCCCGAAAUCAAAAGUGGCGCAAGCUACUGCUUUUUGAGGAGCCCGCGGCCUAUCAGCUAGUUGGUGUGGUAACGGCUCACCAAGGCUUUGACGGGUAGCUGGUCUGAGAGGACGACCAGUCACACUGGAACUGAGACACGGUCCAGACACCUACGGGUGGCAGCAGUCGAGAAUUUUUCUCAAUGGGGGAAACCCUGAAGGAGCGACGCCGCGUGGAGGAUGAAGGUCUUCGGGUUGUAAACUCCUGUCAUUUGGGAACAAGUGCCGGUACGUAACUGCUACCGGCUUGAUAGUACCAGAAGAGGAAGAGACGGCUAACUCUGUGCCAGCAGCCGCGGUAAUACAGAGGUCUCAAGCGUUGUUCGGAUUCAUUGGGCGUAAAGGGUGUGUAGGUGGCGCGCUAAGUCGGGUGUGAAAUUUCGGAGCUUAACUCCGAAACUGCAUUCGAUACUGGCGUGCUUGAGGACUGGAGAGGAGACUGGAA